GGCUCUGUGGCGCAAUGGAUAGCGCAUUGGACUUCUAAUUUAAAGGUUGUGGGUUCGAGUCCCACCAGAGUCG